GAUGAACGCUGGCGGCGUGCCUAAUACAUGCAAGUCGAGCGAACGGACUAGAAGCUUGCUUCUCUGAUGUUAGCGGCGGACGGGUGAGUAACACGUGGAUAACCUACCUAUAAGACUGGGAUAACUUCGGGAAACCGUAGCUAAUACCGGAUAAUAUUUUGAACCGCAUGGUUCAAAAGUGAAAGACGGUCUUGCUGUCACUUAUAGAUGGAUCCGCGCUGCAUUAGCUAGUUGGUAAGGUAACGGCUUACCAAGGCAACGAUGCAUAGCCGACCUGAGAGGGGGAUCGACCACACUAGAACUAAGACACGGUCCAAACUCCUACGGGAGGCAGCAGUAGGGAAUCUUCCGCAGUGAGCGAAAGCCUGACGGAGCAACACCGCGUGAGUGGUGAAGGUCUUCGGAUCGUAAAACUCUGUUAUUAGGGAAGAACAUAUGUGUAAGUAACUGUGCACAACUUGACGGUACCUAAUCAGAAAGCCACGGCUAACUACGUG
rnacentral:rRNA from 1 species